UUUUAGAUGAAAAAAGAUUGUAAUCAUUCAUGAAAUGGGAUCCUUUUUCGUUGCUAAUAUUUCUACAGAACGUCUCUGGAGGAAUAUGUAUAUAUACACACAUAUACAGAUACAUACAGAUGUGAGAGUAGAGGUGAUUUUUCUUCUUUGGACUUGGUAAAACUUGUUGAAAUGACCAUCUGUAACUCUUAGAAGUUGAAUAAUUCAGAAUAUCAAUAUGAACACAGAUUUCUACAAUUGAAGACGGAAAAUGGUAAGAGCUACAUGAGAUCUAAAAUGCUAUGGGAUCUCAAAGGCAGAGUUUUGGGGCUGAUGAUCGGGGCUGACUUCUCAGCUGAAGGCAUGACGAUGGCACGCUUUCUCAGCGCCUAGUCCCCAGAGUCUGUGUAAAAUGGGGCCCCAGGAACCUGUCCUCAUAACCAGUAUUUCAGGUAGUUUCGUGCACUCCCCAGCUUGAGAACUCACGAGUCAGGGGCUUUGAGGCACUCCUGGGGCAGCUGGCAGAACACUCCCAGCACACACACCCCCCACCCCUAGCCUGGGCUGUGUUCUCAACCCUGAUGCACAUAGGAAACAUCUGGAGAGCCUUCACCUCUGAAGUCUGAGCCCCUCCUGAGCUCAGACCAAUUAAAUCAGAAACUUUUAGGGGGCGGGAAGAAUGUUGAUUAUUUCUCAAACCUGCCCAGAAGAUUCUGAUGUGCAGUAAGAUUGAGAGCUGCUGCUCUGAGGCUCUCCCUGGACAGGAAGCUCACCUGUUUGCCGGGAAUGCCCUCCCAAGUUAGGGUAAAGCAGUGUGCAUGGCAGGCGUUCCCCUCUGACCUGUGCUGUGUGCACUGUCCCGGGACCUGGGGUUCAGGUGCUGGCUCAGAACAUACACGGGCCAUGCCAGUCACCCUGAUAUACCAAGAACCUAGUACAAAAAGUGGUGCUUCUGGAGUUCCCAUUGUGGCUCAGCAGUAACGAAUCCGACUAGUAUCCAUAAGGACGCAGGUUCAAUUCCUAGUCUCCCUCAGUAGGUUAAGGAUCCUAUGUUGCUGUGGCAUAGGCCAGCAGCUGCAGCUCCUAUUCGACUCCUAGCCUAGAAACUUCCGUAUUCCACACCUGAGGCCCUAAAAAGCGAAAAAAAGAAAGAAAAGAAAAAGUGAUGCUUCUCUUGUUAGUGAUAAUAGUUGCUAAUAUCUAUUGUGCAUUUACCAUGGGGCGGAUACAGAUAUUAAUUCCUUUAAUCUUCACAGCAAUGUUAAGAGGUGGAUAAUAUUAUCGCCCCUGUUUUUAAGAGGAAACUGGGGUGCUGAGGAGUAACUUGUCCAGGGUUUGAGAGGUGGGACCAAGAUAUAAACCCAAGCCAUCAGACUCAGAGCUCUCACUCUUUAAUGAUCACUCCCUUACACAAAAUAAAUGCCUGCUGCAAAAUGAAUUUGUAGGUGAGUGAAGGAUACUUAGAUUAUGUCAGCAACUUGGUUGCCCCAGAGCUUGACAUACAUAGGUGCUCUGUCAAUGCUGAAUAAUAAAUGCUCCGAUUUGGUAGGGCCCUGGAACAAUGAGAAACCAAGACCAGCCCCUCCUUCACUCUUUCUCCCUCUCCCCCCCUCAGCCCAACUUCUCUGCAGCAAUAAACAGCGAAGCCAAAAAUAGCCAUCUAAUGACGUUAGAGGAGCAAGGUCAUCUGAAAAUUGCCCAUGGCCACUGGACACCUCCCUAUAGGAUCAAGUAGCAGGAGGGUACCCCAGGCUGGUGCAGCUGUUCCAAGAACAGGAAACAGCCCAGGAGCAGACUUGGAAGCACCACCUCAUGAUGGCAGGGCCCUCGUGAAGGGGGCAGGGGACAAAUGCCAACACUCAAAGGAGAAGCAAGGCCCAAGUGUGAGUGCAGACCCUGUAGAAGAGAACUGGACUUUGUCUGCACUGGAAGUCACCCCCGUCACACGAUCCCAGGAAAUGGCUCAAAAAGCGGGGAAUGCAUGUUCUGUCCUGGUGCACCUGACGGCUUCCUGGCCCCCCACUAUGCUAUUUAUAACGCCGCGGGGGCUGGGGGCGUCUGCUGAACUGGGUUACCAUACAAGCUGGGGUGCAUGGCAAGUUCUGAGAGGCUGCCGGGAGAAGAGGGCCCCUCCUGGGAUGGCGAGGGGGCAUCCAAAUAAAGGAUGAGGAGUGGGCCGGGGCAAAGCCCCUCUGGCUGCAGUCCCCUGGCACUCUGACCACCUUGGCUUUCAUCCAGGCCUGCCGAGGCUUGUGACCUGACGGGCAGCUGCCGUAUCCCUGACAAGAACGCAAGCAUCCGGCACGGUCCGAGGAGAUGCCUGCUGGGUGAAACUAGAGAGAGAACCUGCUCUGAGCAUCUGGGGAGCAUAGCUGGAGCUUCCCACAGCAACGUCAAGAAUUCUGUGAGGACUCCAGCCCAAACUUGCUCCGAGGUCCUGAGCUGCUGGCCCUGGCGAGUGACAGAAACAAUCUCUUCUUCAUCCAAGGGGCCCUGUGAUCAAGUGUCAAUUAUCUUAUCUUCCAGGAGUUCCUGAGAAUGCCCAUCCCCUCAAGGGCUGCAACUGGUGCGGUGCAGAGGGCCCUUGAGGGCACAGACCUGGGUCCAAAUUCUUUUAUUUUCUUGGUCUUUUUGUCUUUUUAGGGCCGCACCUUUGGCAUAUGGAGGUUCCCAGGCUACGGGUCUAAUCGGAGCUGUAGCUGCUGGGCUAUGCUGGGUCCAAAUUCUGACUGCCAUUUACCAGCAGUGCGACUUUGGGAAAGUAACUUAAACUCUGAGCCUCAGUUUCCUCCUCCGUCAUAUGACUUGUUGGAAGGACCUAUGGAAAAGCAUUCUUCCUUCGGUCUUUAUUCUGGUAAUGGAGUCUUGGCUAAGGGGAUAAACACCUACUCAACCAACUCAGCAGCUCUCCCGGGUAACAUGAACGGGCUGCACAAAUAUGAUGCCCAGGGAGCUUGGAGGGGAGGUGUGUUUUCUCCUCCACACGGGUUCUGUUUUGCCCUGGGUGCUGAGGGUCACACAAGAGAAUGGCUGCUGGCUCCCUGGUCCCUAGAGACCUUUUGAGUUGGGAGACCUGUUGUCCAUCCAAAUAAUGUGCAACGAAGAGUCAGGGAGCCUACAGUGUAGACAUCCUCCUCCAACCAAUAAGAACGCGAUUUCUGUAAGGUCAGCUCAAAUCCCUCACCUCUCUGCUUGCACAAACUCCCACGGAGUCUCCUUCCUGAGGAGUGCCUCUGCUCCUCUCGCUGGCUGCUGACUCUAGCAGCUGCUGGCCCUGUCCUGUCAGGCUGUUGGUUUUGUGAGUAAACAGCAGGGGCUUCUGGCAACCCCUGGUGACACACACCCACUGACAAUUAAUAUUGAAUAUGUGACUCAAGCAGGGCCACAGUGAGUCACACUGUCCAAUAGGGAUGAAUAAGUGCCCAUUGUGCUCCCAGAGUGCUCUGGGGCCAUGUUAAAGCUAGGAGCAAAUUCUCAUCCAUGGAACUGGAGGAAUGGUCCUUUCCAGAAACAUUGUUUUAAUUUCUACCAGGAAGACACUGAGACCCAGAAAAUGUGACAUGUGCAAGGACAUAAAACCAGAAGCCACUCUCCCAAUCUAGGGUUCAAGCCACUAAUUUUUGUGCACCUUCAGAACAAAAAGAGUCUAAGUCCCUUUGACCAUAAACAUCACAAAAACUGAGUUGCAGCGGAGAGAAACAGAAGAGCAGUAAGACGAGGGGAGACGUCCUUAAACUGCCUCUAGCAGCUGAAGAACCCGCUAUUAGCAACCUCACAUCGUGGAAAAGCCAAGGAUGGGAGGGACUUCCUUGCUGGAGUCUGUCAGAAUUCAUUGAGCAUUCUGUACAGUCUUUAACUGGUUCCAAGGUCAAGAGAAACAUCAGAAAAUAUGUGUGUGUGUCAGAGGACAUUAUUCAGGGAUUAGUCCCCUGGAGUGAUGUGGGCUAGAUUUCCUCUUCCAGAACAACCCUUGGAAAGUCCUCAAGAGCUAGCACUCUGGUCUCCAGCAUAACUUCAUUUAAGUUGAAAUAGAAAUCUAGCCUGCUAGGGGUGCCCUCUUGCAGUGACGGAGCAGCUGACUAUAGAAAAAUAUAAAUGUCAAACUAGGACGAAUGUGGUUAGGACGAAUGUGGUUAGAACAAAUUGUCGGGGGAAAAAAGCUGAAAACAUUCCAGCUGAAAGAGCCUUAUUUAUUUUUCUCAUUCAGUCACCUCUUUGACGAUAUGGAAACUGAGGUCCAGAAAAAGGGAGUGCCUUGUUAAAGGUCAGCCGGUGUGCCAGUGCCAGGAGGUGGAUUAUAUUCCCUGCCUCUACUCUUCCCAAGACACACCGCAGCCCAGCUAGAGUUAAGAAAGACAAAGGGCGUUUCCUUUCAAAUCUGAUCUCCAGGCUCUGAGACAGCCACCCCCCGUGUACGUCUGUCUUAAGAUGUAGAAUUCCAAGACUUUAAAACGACAUACCUAGAAUUCUCUCCAGAAAGGCUUUGCUAAAUGCCGGUGAACUCUUCUGCUGGGCACCAGUGCCAGUUACACUGACAUCAGGUCGGCCAAAGAGAGCUUUCCAGUGUGCAAGUGUGUAUGCCAGAAUGUCGUCAUUGACUAUGCUUUUGGGAGGGACUUACAUUUUAAUAAUUUAAUUGAAUUACAAAGAUUGACUAAGUGGUUUGAAACAGCCAUUUAAAGUUUAGAGACAGACAUAAUACAUUAGGGGGACAAAGAAAUCUGUCCUAUAAAUAGCCUAGAAAAAUCUUUUGCGAAACAAACCUUUUCAAUGGGGAGAAGCAAACUCAGAACACAGGAACAAUAUGCUGCUGUUAGAAUUGGUAUUUUCAGAGUAUGCAACAAUACGGGAAAAAUAUUUGCAUUAAUACUAUGCAAAAUGAAAAAAAGGAAUACUUUGUAUGUCAGAAAAACUCUACACUGUAGAAAAACACACUAAAGUUUUAGGGAGUAUGUCAGCGUAAGGCCACUGACUUUUCAUCGCUCCUCGCCACUAAGCGUAACAAUGCUGCCCCAAACUGCUUUUCCUAUUGUAUUUUACAACUACUCAUUGUUUAGUAUUUGACCCACUGAAAACUACAUCUCCCACCCUUGCUCCUGAAAGGAGUCCUGAGAAUAUCACUGGUACCAAAAUAAGGUAGGCAACAAUUUUUAGCCCAUUCAUACACCUGCCUGUGAGGUUCUGGGAUACCAGUCCCAAACGACAUGGGUUUAGGCAGAUCAGACAGGCCAAGUUUUUAUUUCCUUUCUGUGUCAUAAAAUUUUAAGAAAAGAAGAGAAGGCAAUUGAUGCUUUAGGGCUAGGCAGUCUGGUGAAAUAAUUCUUGACAAAACCUAGUAUUUUCCUAAGCCCCUGCAACAAUAGUUUCUCGGAGUAAAAUGUCAGCAUUUGUCAAGCCCUUUCAGGAAGCUGCUGAUAACCUUCAGUGCUUAAGAGUCAUGCUUUGACGUGAGCCCAGCCUCUUAUUCUCUUGCAAGAAAGAGAAGUGCAAACACGAUGAGGUAUUUCUGGUUUUGACAUCCGUAACCUUUGCUACAGAAAGUAGAGUGGGUAUGCAGGAAUACAAAAAACAAGGAAAAAGUGUUUGUCCCCAGGCUUCUUUUUUAUAGCAACUACACUGGCUUUAGCUGGAUAACAAAUUGUCCUGGAAUUCUUGGCAUUGGAGCAAACAUGUCAGCUCCGUGGUUACGCCUUCGUCACUGCUCAAAGUACUGCACACUUUAACCUUCCUGCUCUUUCCAUAGGCCUGGGUUUGUCCCAUACCCAGGAAACUUUAUAUGUUGUCUAAACUGAGCAUCCCAGCAGGCUGCAAGGCAGAUGGCAGCUCAGGAUUCAGAAUGUUGACCGACUCCUACCUGGAUCCACACCACCAAGCUAUAACUCAGCCUGGCUGUGCAGAAAUAGGAGCCCGGCCACGUGGCUGACAGCUUUUUUAACUGCUACUCUCAGCAAUGAGGAACUUCUCCAGCAGUUAAGAUUCAGAAAGGAACUGAAAAGGAAGCAUGUCAAGAGCUACCGAAGGGGAUAUACAGGUCCGACCGGAUACUCAAGCCAAUAAGCCCCCAAGGCUCAGCUAAGCCAGGGGGAGCUAAAAGACUGGGUAUUGCCAAGCUGCCCUCAAGCCCUUGGGACCUCAGGUCAUUAGCCCAGGACAUCACACAGAGGAACUGGACAUCACUACUGGACAUCUGCCUUCAGGUCACUAGAUUCUCAUAAGAAGCUUCAUACUUCAGCCAGGCAGAAAGCUAGUACACACCUGAGGUAGCACCUGAACCACAUCAUUCAAUGCAGAACAUAUGAAAGAGCAAGGAACAGAGUAUAAAUUAUGACAUUAUUUAUGGAAAAACAAAAGGGAGCAGGUGAAGUCAUCUCUGCAAGGGAACAUACUUGGCAGCACUAUCUGGGGUGGGAACUGAACUUGUAGCUUUUGAAUUUUGAAUGAAGUGCAACACUUACAGAACAAAUUAACAUUAAAGGAAAUGCAUAAUACUACAAUCUCAUUGCUAUAAAAAAAAGGAAAACGCUGGAGUUCCCAUCGUGGCGCAGUGGUUAACAAAUCCAACUGGGAACCACGAGGUUGCUGGUUCGAUCCCUGGCCUUGCUCAGUGGGCCGAGGAUCCGGCAUUGCCGUGAACUGUGGUGUAGGUUGCAGAAGCGGAGUUCCCUGGUAGCUUAGUGUUGUUGCUGCUGUGGCAUAGGUUCAAUCCCUGGCCUAGGAACUUCUGCAUGCUGCAAGCAUGUCCCCCGCCCCAAAGGAACUGCAAUCUCACCUCCAAGAAUCUCUAAACUCCUGAAGCGUUUUAUCUGUCUGUCUCACAUUACUCAAUUACAUCGUAUCUCGUGUUACAAUUGUGUAAGUCUAGACUUACCUCUAUUCAAUGCUGGAGCAACUGCCACUGCAGCCUGUCUACUACUCAAGCUCUACUUUCCAAGGACAAAAUUCUAUGGAAAAGAACUGGUAAGGAAUAAAACAGCAGUCAAGAUGGCAACAAAGCAAUUACAUAAGAACAAAAUGAUCAAAGUAAAAGUGAACGAGGACCUCGUAUUAAUUAAUCAGCACAAGACUAUUAGUAAUGGGAAACUAUAACAAGUUAAAACACCAAGGCGUUCCCGUUGUGGCGCAGCAGAAACGAAUCCGACUAGGAACCAUGAGGUUGCAGGUUCGAUCCCUGGCCUCGAUCAGUGGGUUGAGGACCUGGUGUUGCUGUGAGCUUUGGUGUAGGUCGCAGACGCGGCUCGGAUCUGGUGUUGCUGUGGCUCUGGCGUAGGCUGGCGGCUACAGCUCCAAUUUGACCCCUAGCCUGGGAACCUCCAUAUGUCGUGGGUGUGGCUCUAAAAAGCAAAAAAACAAAAACAAAAACAACCCAACACUAAAAACACAGUCCUUCUCAGGUAUUGCAGAAAUUCCAACAAUCUGCAUGUCUGCAGGUGCUAGGAGCUCUGCAACUUGCCAAACAAAGUGUGGCAGCCCGAUUUCUCAGAACUCAGUAAAUUCCUAUUGGAGGGCAUGUUCUUUGUUUAGGAAAAUUCUGGGGUAGCCUCUGACAAUUGAAAGAGAAGCUCCCUCCUGGACAAGGCCUGAAGGGAUAAAGAACUUGAAUUUCUCUGCAAAAGAAAAGCAAAGAUUGAGUUUCAGGAGAAAUGGGAGGCUGUACUAGAAAAAUGAAGGUCAUGUGAAGUGGUGUAGAAAGAAAGAACUGACUAGACAGGUUGUACUGAGAGGUAGACAGCCACUGGGAAACUGAGAGACAUUCUGGGAAGUAAGAGACAAUGGAUGUCUGCAUCUCCAUUUUAAAAGCUAUUUGGUCUAAAGUAACACACUCUCUCUUGCCUCUCAGAGACCACCACGCGUUACCACCCUGACGUGGGUGUGUCUUUAGGCAGUAAUCCAGAAUGGAGCAAAUGGAGUGGACGGACUCCAUAGGUCCAUAAUUCUCAGUACCACUCUUCUAAAAGCCCCAACUUGAGGGCCAGAUUUAUUCUUCUGCUUGAAACCACCAAAACUAAAAAUGGACAAACUAUAUGAAAAAAUGGUCCCAGGUGGUAAUAUAUGAGUAAGAGUCAAUUAGUUAGAGAACUGCUGAUACAUGGGCGGGAGAAAAGGACAGACACAGAGAGGGGAUCAAGAGAUGGAGAAGUAGAAAAACCAAAGCAAGAGGUAACCAGGAAAAAAGUAGGAAAUUAUCAUCCUUACCUGAUGAGGUCAAAUGGUCAAGGAAAGAUUUAUGAAAAAGAUGAUACCAAAGCUUAUUUUUUUUGUUUUUGGCCACACCUGCGGCAUGUGAAUGUUCCUAGGACGGGGACUGAACCUGCACCAUGGCAGCAACCCAAACCACUGCAGUGACAGUGCUGGAUCCUUAACCUGUUUCGUCACAAGAGAACUCCCAGAGCUGAGUCUUAUAUGGAAGAGUUUACCAGAUGAGAAAAAAACACACUUUGAAGGCAUAACAGACCUCCAGAGUGGUUCCUAGGAGGGAGUUAACAACAUAGGGAAGGAUAUUCUGACAUAAGACCCAAAAAAAAAGUCACAAAGCACUUUCCUUUAAGGAUAGAGGCUAUGCUUUUAAAAGUCCCUAGCUCCGGAGUUCCCGUCGUGGCGCAGUGGUUGGCGAAUCUGACUAGGAACCAUGAGGUUGCGGGUUCGGUCCCUGCCCUUACUCAGUGGGUUAACGAUCCGGCGUUGCCGUGAGCUGUGGUAUAGGUUGCAGACGCGGCUCGGAUCCCGCAUUGCUGUGGCUCAGGUGUAGGCCGGUGGCUACAGCUCCGAUUCGACCCCUAGCCUGGGAACCUCCAUGUGCUGCGGGAGCGGCCCAAAGAAAUAGCAAAAAGACAAAAAAAAAAAAAAAAAAAAAAAAAA
rnacentral:lncRNA from 1 species